CCCAUUUCGGCGAUGGUGGAACUAGCGGAACAGCUCAACAGCAACAUUAAGCCGAGAGUAAUCGUAUGAAACGUCGCCAAAACUACACUUGACCUAGUCAAUGGACAACGCUUGACAAGAAUGUGAUGACACCAAAACCCAAAUUCAUGGAGAGUACAGUAUCGGUAAUGGCUCUAAUCCACAGGGAGAUUGAAAGCAUCUUCCCCCAAGAUGGUGCAAGAAAAUAGGCCAAUCCUGAAUACAUUUGUAAUGGGUUGGAAUAGGUGGCCCUGGCCACGAGGAUGACAAUCAAUGUCACAGAAUACCUUGCUGAUAAAUUUGAGUCCACAAAUAACUGUUAGGACUGCAAACACCCAGGAUUAGAGAUUAUAAAUAGCUGCUCCGGAGCCAGGCUGGGUUGCGAAAACGACUUGCUCCAAAUUGCGAUCAACAGCUGCCGGCAAGCUCUUGUAGUAAUUUUCUUUCAG